UUACAGAGCUGCCAACAUGCUUAUAACCAAUGUGGCACUGCAGCUUACAAACAAAACACUCGUCCUGCUUAGUUUCUUUGACACUUUAACAUGAUGGGCACAGGCGGGCCUCAUCCCUGUCAUCAAUUGUCUCUCUCUCCUUCUCUCCCUCCCUUUCAUUCUCUCCCUCACUCCUUUCCUCACUUCUUCCCCUUCUGUGGCCAAGAUGAACAAGGGUGGGAUGGGGAAAGGGGCUGUGGCAAGCAUUGGCAUGCUCAACCUUUUGGUGCUACUGAUUGCUGUGGACGCCACCUGUUGCUAUAUCAACCGCUGCGGCAUGCUGAUGUUCCUGGCUGUCAAGCUGUUUGGGCAGAAGGUCCCUGGGAUGAAGACUGUGGAGGAGGGUGACGGCACCUGUAAUGGGAAAACGUCCCCCAUUGGAGAUCCUGCCACAGAGGUCUGAGUUACUGAACAGGAAGUGGCAUCCUAGUAUAUGAAGAAUGGAACCUGUAAAUGCCAAAGUAGAAAGGAGGAAGUGUUGUGAGUAGGGGGUCUUAGUUAAAUGUAUUUGGAGAGUUCCCAGGACAGUCCAAGUUGAGAAAGGAUAAGGAUUCGGAAAAUGAUCUGUGAAUUGUAAAGUCUAACAUCAACAGAUGGUUGUAAUUUCAUCCAGCCCUGUGUAAUCUCCUGUUAAGUGUUACAUUUCCUUGCUUUUAAAUUCAUGUGCCGUCACGACUUCCGCCGAAGUCGGCUCCUCUCCUUGUUCGGGCGGCGUUCGGCGAUCGACGUCACCGGCUUUCAGUCAUCGCCGCUCCAUUUCUCAUAUAUCC